rnacentral:rRNA from 1 species
UAUCUUUAGUUGCCAGUCAGUUCGGCUGGGCACUCUAUGGAGACUGCCACCUAAAUGGAGAAGUGGGGAUGACGUCAAGUCAGCAUGGCCCUUACGUCCGGGGCUAUACACGUGCUACAAUGGCCGGUACAAAGGGUUGCGAAGCCGUGAGGUGGAGCGAAUCUCAAAAAGCCGGCCUCAGUUCGGAUUGGAGGCUGCAACUCGCCUCCAUGAAGUCGGAAUCGCUAGUAACCGCAGAUCAGCUACGUUGCGGUGAAUACGUUCCCGGGCCUU